AUGAUAUAUGAAAAAAUAGCAGGUUAGCAUUCCCCUUGAUAAAGAUAAAAUAUGUCUAAUUGAUCUUUAUAACACAUAUGAUUUAGACAUUUACACUUCUCUGUCAUCUAACCAAGUUUUGUU